AAUAACACAAAAACAAUCCAACAAAAGCAUACACACACCUGUGAAGAACUGAGGGAAUUUCACUGGCAAAAUGACAGCUUCCUGCAAUGCCUGUUUAGCACUCUCCAAUCCAGCAACAUCAUUCCACUUCACAUUAGGUUUCUCUCUAACAAUUGCUGAAUUAAGCCCAGCCCUUAGCUUAGACUGCUCAGGAUCCUCCCCAUCCUCACCAUCCUUAGGCUUAGUCUUAGGCUUAGCAAUCACAGCUGCAUCUCCUCCAUUUGGACCAGGCCCACUCCCACCCUCAUCCAACACAGCCCUAAUCUCCUCCGCACGGCGUAAAUACUCUGUAAAUUUCUGGGUAAUUGCCUCCUUAAUCUUAGGAUUCUUCUCGUACUUCAAAUGGGUCUUGAAGUACUCCAAUGCAUUCAUAUACAACGGAAAUGCCUUGGCAUAGUUUCCACUAUUGUCCUCUUGCACUGCUUGCCUUACGUAAUCAAUUGCUUGCUCCUUGAAAUUGCUAUACAUCUUCGAUCAUAUAGAAAAAAAAAACCCACAAAAUUAACCAAGCAAAUUUCAGGGUUUUGAUCAGAACUCAAAAGGGUGUCCGCAAAACCACAAAACUAACCAAGAAAAUUAAUGGGUUUUCAUCAGAACUCAAAAGGGUGUUCGAAAAAAGUUGAUUUAAGAAAAAAAAAUCAUAUAAACAGUGUUCUGAGUAAUGGAUCUUUUUGAAGAUUUUGAGCUUUUUUGGGUGGAUUAGGAACCCUAAAAAUUGGGGAUUUUGGUUUUGAUUUAAGAAAAAGAUUGAUUAGAGAUCGAAGGUUGGAUUAUGGAAGAAGAAAACAUUUGAAAGAAUCGUAAUUUGUGAGUUUGAACGUUGAAAUUUACAGGGGAAAGUGUUUUUGUCAUACACCAAGGGCUGCUGUUAAGGAACGGAAAAAGGUCAAAAAUGUUGCUAAUUAAAAAUGAAAUGACUCAAAAAUAUAUCUCACUCAUAACUCAUACAGUUCAUUUUACUUGUUACGUAUUUUUAAAAUAGAUUUUUAUUUUACAAAUUAUGCAAAAUAGCAAAUAUUUAAAUCAUAUUAAAUAUUAUAGUUACACACCGCUAUAGUUUUGCUCAAUCUUGCUAUUAGCAUGAUUUGUAUAAUUUAUCUUAUUUGUAUAAUUCCAGAAUUUGUACACUUUGAUUUCUGAUUGUAUAAAAUUCAAAAUUAUAUAUAUAUUUACCCUAGUUGUUUUGUAUACGAUUUAUGAAAAAAUCAUAAUAAAUUACCCUAUUUAUAUAUUGGCAAGCGAAAUAUACAAAACGGAGUUUUGAAAAAUUUCUAAAUGUAUAAAUUCAGAAUUUGUAUGGACUAACCCUAUUUGUGUAUACAAACGGACGAAAAAUAUGCAACCACAACCUCCAUAGGUAACAAAUCUAUAGCUAUGGAGCGCAAUUAUCAAAACUAUAGAUAUAGAACCUCAUUGUCUAUUAUGUUUCCUAUUUCCGAAAUUUUUUGUCGAUAAUCAUUUUCUUUAUGGGUGUGUCAAGUCAAACAGUGACAAAUAAAAAAUCAGCAAAGGGAUAUUUUAUUUUACUAGAAAAGAGUGUUGGCCAAGAGCCUAAGACUAAGAACAUCUUUUCAAAAUGAAGAUCAGUUCCAUCUCCACUACAGCGUACCACCUUCAUUCAAUAUUGAAAUUAGAAUUAAAAGGUCAAAUACACACUUGAAGGCGUUACUGCUAUUCUUGUUUCCUAUGGAUGAUGACACAGCUCGACGUGUGACCUCCUUAUCACAUGACAACAACUUUACUAGUUAAGCCGAGGAAGCUCCCUCGGCACGUGAGUUUUAACUACACUCUAAAUAAGUUGGCCACAAGAAAAGAGAGGUUACCAGCUUUGUUGUUACUAUUAGCAGCACUUGCUGACAAAUUGUGAAUUAACUGCCUGCAAAUAGAAUUGUAAAAGGAAUACAACAAAGAGACUAGCAAAAUGUUCUGUCUUGACAUUAAUAAAUACAUGCAAAGCUAAAACUAAUACAAUCCAAGAAGGUAAACAAUGACAAUUUCCCAUUUGAAGAGCCUUUGAAUAACGCAAAUUUUUCAGACAAGUAGAGGGGAGAAAGAACACAAAUCAUGGCAACUCCAGGUGUAGCAGUAUACAUCAAUCUCAUCAACCUUCUUCUCCAAACUCCUUUGUGAAUCUGUCAUGCACUUCAAGGUCGGAUUUACUAACUGUUGGCCUUUGACGAGCAAGAACCUUAUCAAAGUCUGUCUUUGUAAUGGGGGGCGGUAUGAUCUGCAAAGGCAUUAAUCAGCAAGAUGCUUAACUAGUCCUGCCCGUUAAAGAGGACAAUUUAUCCAAAGCCAAAUUAGAACUUCAUACUAAAACAUUACUAGAUGAUUCUAAUAUCAGCUACUGAGACACGGGUCUGUCGCAAAUAGCCUAUCUACCUUCAUAAGGUAGGGGUAAGGACACUAUCCUCCCCAGACCCCACUUGUGGGGAUCACACUGAGUAUAUUACUGUUUGAUUCUAAUAUUAGCUACUAAUUCUUCCUUUUUCGGGGUAAUCAAGCUAUUCAGAAUUGAGUCAUUGACACAUAGGCAGAUGUAGUUCAGUAAAGGCACAAUAUCUUCUUACAUUUUAGUUCAGACUUCAGUAUAACCAUAUGAUGUGCAAACAGUAACGUUAGAAUCACAUUUAAUUAUUGCAUUACUAGUGACUUGAAAUAAGUCAAGUUUCCAGACGUGUGCAGUUGUAGGCCCCGGCCCCAAUAUAUUCCAGCUAAAACUCAUACAAGCACAAGAUUUGGCUAAGUGACCAGAUUAAAAAUUAAUUAUGGCAGUAAUCUCGAACUAUAAAUGUAUCCCAAAUAUCUACCUGGGAUGCAAGUCCUUUAGCAUCAAGCUCCUGCAUAGUUGUCUGCACAGCACCCUGUUGCUUUGGUCCGCAUGGUAUCCAGGUACCAUUAGAAGUCUGAGUAAAGAACACAGCAUCUUGUGUCUUACGUACGGGUUCAAAUAGCACAUCCUUGACCUGUCCAAGAAGAGAAGGUAUAUAAAUAUAUUAGGAGAAUAAAGAGGAAUUGCCCCCUUUUUUCCUUCAGUGUUUAGCAAGUUCAAGUGGAUUGGUGUAGAAGAAAGGGUCUCUUCCAACUACAAACUCACAAACAACAUGUUGGGCAUAAAGUCAAAUUCAUUAGGGUCCAGACUUACACAAACAGAAACAUCUGAACCAGAAAAACCUUCUGUCUUACGGGCCAGGUCUUCAAAGUCACUCUCGCUCAAGUUAUGGGGGGUAUCACCUAAAUGAACCUGCACGUGUAACAAGCCAAUCUAAAUAACUCUAGCUCUCACAAGUCGACUUGCAGUAUAUUUCCUUUUUUUUUUUUUGGAUGACAAGGGAAACCCGCAGCCGCUACCCUUUGGGUGCGCACAGGGUAAAACCCCCGCUCCUAUGCAAUAGCUCGCAAACCACAUAGGAGAGGUAACCCGCACUAGGCAAGCCUGGUGCGACGAGCUCGACCCAGAAGGCAAAACCCCUUGCUUUCGCUGGCAAGGGGUUUCGAACUUGAGACCUCCAACAUGAAAGUUCCAAGCUCAAACCACUGGGCCACCCCGAAGGGUUGUAGUAUAUUUCCUUUUUGAACUUCACUUUCCAAGAAAAAUCACAGAACAGGAUUUACUUUGAACAUGUGUUGCCGUGCCUUCAAAUCUGGGAGCGGAAUGUAGAUACGCUUAUCAAAUCUUCGCCGUAUAGCCUGUAGAGGACAAUUUCCGUCAGCAAUAAAUUUCUAAGAUCCACAACUUUAAAGUGCAGAUCAUUCUUCACCUGAUCUAGGGCAUAGGGUGUAUUUGUUGCCGCAAGUACAAGAACUUUAUCAUCAUUGUGACCAACACCCUGAAAAAAAAAAAAAUAAGAAAAAGAAAUCUAUAGCCGGGGGGUUUCUCUUCCUCUUUUCUUUCUGAUAGGUUGAAGUUGGUUAUGACAGUUCAAGGAACCACAUAAUAGCUAUGAUAGAUCAAUUACCUGCAUCUGCACAAGGAGUUCUGUUUUAAUACGUCGAGAAGCUUCACUUUCGUUUCCUUCUCCUCGCUGCCCACACAAGGAAUCAAUUUCAUCAACGAAUAUAAUGGAGGGAGCGCUUUCACGAGCCAUUUGGAAAAGGUUUGAAACUAGCUUUUCACUUUCACCCAUCCACUUGGAUACAAGGUCUGAUGACGAGACGCUGCAUGAAAAUAGCAGUUGGCACUCGCCAACUUUACAGCGUAAGUUCUUGAAAAUGGGAAACUGAAAAAAUAGCUGACAAAGAGCAGACACAUGACGACUAUAUUCAUGCAAGCAACUCAUGUUUAUAUGCAUCCAUCAAGAUGGUUACGUGCAAGUUUAAAAGAGAAAUCAAUAGUGCAAAUGGAAGAUUUAGUACCACUGAGAACCGCAGAGAUUAGAACAUUUGCAGGUAUAGGAUCAUUCGACUAUCGAGGACACAGGCAUCUUGAAAUCUCCCACAUAAUGGCAGCAGAGAAUAUCAAAAAAUCAGGGGAAAGGCCAUUAUACAUAUUACUUUUUGCUUCUAGAAAGACAUCAACAUAUUGCAUGAUUUCACAUGCUAUCCCUUGGUUUUCACAACUCAGGAAAUGUUUGGCACCCCAAUAACCCCCACAGGAGUCCGGUGACAGGACAGAUUUUUUUGUUGUUGGCGGGGUUAGCAUAAAAGAACAACUACUACAAAGCAAAAGCUCUACAUGUUGACCUCCAUUGGAAGUCUUUGCAACAAAACAAAACUGAUGGAUCCUGAUUGUAUAAUCCUACUGAAAUUUUAUUAUUGUAAGCUUUGAAUUGUAAUUGAAAUUACUGCAAUCACAAACAAGGCCUUAGCUGAAGGUUCAAUUUGACUCUGCUCUACAUCAACAUAUUGCAUGAUGUACUGGUCUGAUCUUAAGAUUCAUGGGUUAGCAUCACUUGCGUUGGCAGUAAGUGAGAUGUGUCUAACAAACUGGAGAUAUACAAGAUGAUCUCAUCCAGAGGUUAAAAUCAGGAUAAUGCUGAGAUGCAGAACCAUAAAAUCCAAAAAAAAUUGCUCAUUGGUCAUCCCCAUAUGCUAGACCUAGACUAAAGCCUUCACAUCCUGAAUACUUCCUAAGAUGCACAUGCAAAGCCAUUGAUAUUAUCACUAAGGCUGGAUGUGUUCCUCUAUGGCACGGCUGCUCUAUAAAAUUGGUACCAAAACAAAACAUUAAACACCCUUGGAUACCAGAGUAUGUUUAUCAACCAAUUCCAACAUCACAUUCUGUCCUAGAUGUAUAGAUCUGCAAGUGAUACACCACCGAGGGGGACAACCCAGAUAUGACAUUUAUGAAGGAAAAGAACCUCAUGGAAAGAAGAUAUUCAAAAGAAUCACAAAGCCUCAACAAAAAUAAAGCUAUUAUAAAUACUACUCCCUCCGUCCCAAAAUAAGUGUCACCUUAGCAAAAAAAAUUGUCCCAACAUAAGUGUCACCUUAGGAAUUCAAGACAAAAUUAGUAUGUUUUUUCAACUAUAUCCUUAUACUCCAUCUUCUUAGUAGUGUUCAGUUUUCAGGAGAUAUUUAUUAAAUAAAGUAGUUUAGUAAACUACACAUUAUUUUUAUUGAUUUCUUAAUGGAUGUGAUUUUUGCCAAGGUGACACUUAUUUUGGGAUGGAGGAAGUAUAAUUAAUAAGCAAUCACCUCCCACAACAAAUAACGAGCAACACCCAUGAAACUACAAAGCCCUUAACUCAUGGAUCAUGACCAAGAUGUUAAAUUAGCAGGAGUUAAUUACGAUUUAAACAAAACAAAACAUUCUGGACAUAUUGAGUAUAUAAAGAGGCUUACAUCAGCCAACUCAAAAGGCACAAGAACCAUCCCACACUCCAAAAAGGAAAACACAGGCAAUGUAAAAAUUUCCUAGUUGACUUGGAUAUUGAACCACAUUCUGUAUUUAGUGAUUGAGCCCUUUAUGUUCCUUACUACUUCUGAUUCUUUGAUUAAGGAGCCAGAUUACAUAAAAACAUCAUCUAUAAAAAGAAGAAAAUCAACACAAAUUAUGAGAAAGAUAGGUCAUAAAAACUAUACAGAUAACAAAUUAUGGAAAGGAAGGCCAAAAGAUAAACUAUACAGAAAAUAAAAUAAAGAACCUAACAACCAUAUGGCCAAAAUCGGUUGCAUCUUCUCCCCAGACUUCUUUUUAGCAUUGAUAUUCUAUAAUUUUCCUUUAUAAUCUUUAGGGCUGCUAAGAAGAUUCUCAUUUUGCUCAAGAUCUUUUUCGUUUACUAAUGACAGGUGAUAUAAUGUACCAAAUUUGCAAUUUAAAUACAGCCUUUGUUUUUUUCCAAAAUAAAAGCGGCAGUGAAUCAGGAAAGAUCUGAAGUUGAUAGCUCCAUUUUGCAGUAAAAUGGACACAUUAUAAACAAACACAAUUGCAAGUAGGAGGACAAAUACCUAAAAAAGGUGGAUUCUGCUUCAGUAGCAACAGCUUUGGCCAAGUAAGACUUCCCUGUCCCAGGAGGACCAUAAAGAAGAAAAGCUCUCCAUGGUCGUCUCUUGCCUGUAGGUACAUGAGAAAGGAGAAAAAAGCACUCAAAUUGGUGUGAACAAAAGCACCCAAAAAAUUACUCAAGUUAUGUGAUGCACACAUGGAUAAACUAUUCAACCAUCUCUAAUGUACCACGAAGAGAAAAAGAACAUAAUAUUCACAUGUUUUUUGCCUUAAUGAUUUUUAUCCCACUACAACUCUUUUGGUUGAGCUAGGAGGAGUUGUAACAUGAAUCGUGGGCCAACUAUAAAGAGAAAUUCGAAAUUGUGGGAUUUACUCGGAGAUCACCUCUCGUACCAAUGCAAUUAACCAAUCAGUCUCCCAAAUAUAUAAGACAAUUUGCUCACAACCACGCAGUCACAGGCAAAGAAUACCCACUUUCUUUGCCAAACUUCACAUUUCAAAACGCACACAGACAAAUGCUUAAAAGUUGUAAGGCAUUUCGAAUGUAGAGAAAAUAACUCAUCCACAACAUCACUAAUACUCUAAGAACUCCUACACAUGCUCAACAGAAAGCAUUUUCAUUUUCUACUCAUAUUCAGUUAUCCACAGACUAACCUGGCACUUAGUGUUCCCCAAAUUGAAACGGUUUAAAACAUUCAAUAGGUAAAGACUCAAACUUACUUCUUUCUAUAAGUUAAAAACUAUAACUAUUGGAACCCAUGUAACCCUGACAUAAGUGAAAAUCUUUCUAACUAGGAGUCGAAAGUGUUUGGUUUGCAACAUAAAACUCUGUGUAUAACUGCCUGUAGUUCCCACUUCCCACUUCCCACUGCAUAAUAAGCACUAUAAUCCCUUUAACAACACCUAACAUCUUAUUGACUUAUUUCUACUUCCUUUACCCAAAAGAAAUAAGGCAUAAUACAUAAACAAUACACUCAAACUUGAUCUCACCUAGCAAGUAAGCACUCCAACUUUGAGAGUGCACACCAAGACACCUCGGCUGACUUAGGAGAUGUCUAGAUGAUCAUUUUGUAAGUUGGAGUGUUUAACGGACAUAGUGGAGACGAGUUGAAGUGUCUAGAUGUGCAUAUGCAAGGUUGGAGAGCUUACUAGCUAGCUAAGACCAAGUUUGAGCUUCUGUUUAUGUAUUAUGCCAAAAAACAAUUGUGUUUAAGCUACUUCAUAAUCACAAAGCAAACCAUCAAUUAAAGCAACAAUCUUUACUAGCAAAACACCACAAUAACACAAAAACAAUCCAACAAAAGCAUACACACACCUGUGAAGAACUGAGGGAAUUUCACAGGCAAAAUGACAGCUUCCUGCAACGCCUGUUUGGCACUCUCCAAUCCAGCAACAUCAUUCCACUUCACAUUAGGUUUCUCUCUAACAAUUGCUGAAUUAAGCCCAGCCCUAAGUUUAGACUGCUCAGGAUCCUCCCCAUCUUCACCAUCCUUGGGCUUAGUCUUAGGCUUAGCCAUCACAGCUGCAUCUCCUCCAUUUGGACCAGGCCCACUCCCACCCUCAUCCAACACAGCCCGAAUCUC
rnacentral:lncRNA from 1 species